UACGUAGGGGCCUAGCGUUGUCCGGAUUUAUUGGGCGUAAAGAGCUCGUAGGCGGUGUGUCACGUCGGCCGUGAAAACCUGCAGCUUAACUGUGGGCGUGCGGUCGAUACGGGCAUCACUGGAGUUCGGCAGGGGAGACUGGAAUUCCUGGUGUAGCGGUGAAAUGCGCAGAUAUCAGGAGGAACACCGGUGGCGAAGGCGGCGACCUGGGUAGAUACUGACGCUGAGGCGCGAAAGCGUGGGGAGCAAACAGG
rnacentral:rRNA from 1 species